rnacentral:rRNA from 1 species
CCUACGGGGGGCAGCAGUGAGGAAUAUUGGUCAAUGGGCGCGAGCCUGAACCAGCCAAGUCGCGUGAGGGAGGACGGCCCUACGGGUUGUAAACCUCUUUUGCCGGGGAGCAACGGGCGCCACGUGUGGCGUCACUGAGAGUACCCGGAGAAAAAGCAUCGGCUAACUCCGUGCCAGCAGCCGCGGUAAUACGGAGGAUGCGAGGGUUAUCCGGAUUUAUUGGGUUUAAAGGGUGCGUAGGCGGAGCGUUAAGUCAGUGGUCAAAUUGAGGGGCUCAACCCCUUCCCGCCAUUGAAACUGGCGUGCUUGAGUGGAAGGGAAGAAUGCGGAAUGCGUGGGGUAGCGGUGAAAUGCAUAGAUAUCAGGCAGAACCCCGAUUGCGAAGGCAGCAUGCCGGCUUCCGACUGACGCUGAAGCACGAAAGCGUGGGGAUCGAACAGGAUUAGAUCCCUAGUAGUC